UAACACAUGCAAGUCGAACGCGAAAGCAGCCUUCGGGUUGUGAGUAGAGUGGCAAACGGGUGAGUAUCGCGUGGGUGACCUGCCUUCGAGUGGGGGAUAACCUUCCGAAAGGGGGGCUAAUACCGCAUAACAUCCUGCUCUUGGAUGAGUGGUGAUCAAAGCCGGGGAUCGCAAGACCUGGCGCUUGUAGAGGGACCCGCGUCCGAUUAGCUUGUUGGUGGGGUAGCGGCCUACCAAGGCAUCGAUCGGUAGCCGGCCUGAGAGGGUGUACGGCCACACUGGGACUGAGACACGGCCCAGACUCCUACGGGAGGCAGCAGUGGGGAAUUGUUCGCAAUGGGCGCAAGCCUGACGACGCAACGCCGCGUGGAGGACGAAGAUCUUCGGGUUGUAAACUCCUGUCGAGCGGGACGAAUAGUGCUCGAGUUAAUACCUUGAGUGCCUGACGGUACCGCUAAAGGAAGCCCCGGCUAACUCCGUGCCAGCAGCCGCGGUAAUACGGGGGGGGCAAGCGUUGUUCGGAAUUACUGGGCGUAAAGGGCUCGUAGGCGGCCAGCCAAGUCGGACGUGAAAUCCCUCGGCUUAACCGGGGAACUGCGUCCGAUACUGGUUGGCUUGAAGCCGGGAGAGGGAUGCGGAAUUCCAGGUGUAGCGGUGAAAUGCGUAGAUAUCUGGAGGAACACCGGCGGCGAAGGCGGCAUCCUGGACCGGUCUUGACGCUGAGGAGCGAAAGCUAGGGGAGCAAACGGGAUUAGAUACCCCGGUAGUCCUAGCCCUAAACGAUGAAUGCUUGGUGUGGCGGGUAUCGAUCCCUGCCGUGCCGGAGCUAACGCGUUAAGCAUUCCGCCUGGGGAGUACGGUCGCAAGGCUGAAACUCAAAU
rnacentral:rRNA from 1 species